UUUAUCAAAAACACUUUUAUUAUUUUUUAUGGUAGAUAUAAUCUGCUCAAUGAAUAUUAAAUAGCCGCAAUAUUUUGUGCUAAGGUAGCAUAAUCAUUUGUUUUUUAAUUAAAAACUAGAAUGAAAGAUUAAACGUUUUAAUUUCUUUAUUAUUUAUUUUUAUUUAAUUUAUAUUAAAUAUAAAAAUAUAUUUAUUAAUUAAAAAGACGAUAAGACCCUAUUAAACUUUACUUUUAGUUUAGCUGGGGCAGCUAUUUAAAUAUAAUUUUAUUAUUAUUUUUUUAAAAAUUUUCCAAUAAUAAUUGAUUUUAUAAACAAGUUACUAUAGGGAUAACAGCGUAAUAUUAUUCUAAAGUUCCUAUUUAAAAUAAAGUUUACGACCUCGAUGUUGAAUUAUUAUUCUAUUUAACGCAAUAGUUAAAAAAGUAAGUCUGUUCGACUUUUAAUAUAUUACA
rnacentral:rRNA from 1 species